GUAAAUGUGCUUGCAUCGUGCCCAGACUAGCAAGCCAACGGAUCUACUAGUGAUGCAACAUAAGAAAGUUAUGCAAAAUAUUUCCUGCAUAACAUGAAGAUCUAAAAAUUAACCUAGACAAUGCACAUCAAAGUGCACGCAAUGCAAUUUUCAACUUCUAACCAAAUUGAGUUUGAGUUAAUAGACUUCCUACUUACCCGAAAUCAUAUAAAUACCCUCAUAAAAUAUCUUUCAGAGGGUAUUUUCAACUGAAGGAGAUGGUAGACAACUUUUGAAAGCAAGAACACACAAAGAGAGGAAGCGGCAAAAAUUUAAUUUAGAUUUUCAAUUUCUUUCAUAUUUUACUUGUUCCCAAUGAAAUUCAAUGCUUUGCUCUUAAACAUCACUAUGAGUAGCA
rnacentral:lncRNA from 1 species